GUUGAACGCUGGCGGCAGGCUUAACACAUGCAAGUCGAGCGGGGGAAGGUAGCUUGCUACCGGACCUAGCGGCGGACGGGUGAGUAAUGCUUAGGAAUCUGCCUAUUAGUGGGGGACAACAUCACGAAAGGGAUGCUAAUACCGCAUACGUCCUACGGGAGAAAGCAGGGGAUCUUCGGACCUUGCGCUAAUAGAUGAGCCUAAGUCGGAUUAGCUAGUUGGUGGGGUAAAGGCCUACCAAGGCGACGAUCUGUAGCGGGUCUGAGAGGAUGAUCCGCCACACCGGGACUGGGGCACCGCCCCGGCUCCUUCGGGGAGCAACCGUGGGGGAUAUUUGACAAUGGGGGGAACCCUGGACCAGCCAUGCCGCGUGUGUGGAGGAGGCCUUAUGGUUGUUAAGCACUUUAAGCGAGGAGGAGGCUACUUUAGUUGAUACCGAGCGCUAGUGGACGUUACUCGCAGAAUAAGCACCGGCUAACUCUGUG
rnacentral:rRNA from 1 species